AAAGAGAGCAACCCACGUCCUUAGUUACCAGCAUUUAGUUGGGUACCCUAAGGAGACUGCCGGUGAUAAGCCGGAGGAAGGUGUGGACGACGUCAAGUCAUCAUGGCCCUUACGGGUUGGGCUACACACGUGCUACAAUGGCAUCUACAGUGAGUUAAUCUCCAAAAGAUGUCUCAGUUCGGAUUGGGGUCUGCAACUCGACCCCAUGAAGUUGGAAUCGCUAGUAAUCGCGGAACAGCAUGCCGCGGUGAAUACGUUCCCGGGCCUUGUACACACCGCCCGUCACACCAUGGGAAUUGGGUCUACCCGAAGGUGGUGCGCCAACUAUUUAUAGGGGCAGCCAACCACGGUAGGUUCAGUGACUGGGGUGAAGUCGUAACAAGGUAGCCGUAR
rnacentral:rRNA from 1 species